rnacentral:rRNA from 1 species
CCGUAGCCCAAGAGAUCGGGAUAACACCUGGAAACAAGAUGCUAAUACCGGAUAACAACAGAUGAUGCCUAUCAACUGUUUAAAAGAUGGUUCUGCUAUCACUCUUGGAUGGACCUGCGGUGCAUUAGCUAGUUGGUAGGGUAACGGCCUACCAAGGCGAUGAUGCAUAGCCGAGUUGAGAGACUGAUCGGCCACAUUGGGACUGAGACACGGCCCAAACUCCUACGGGAGGCAGCAGCC